rnacentral:rRNA from 1 species
GAUGAAUGCUGGCGGCGUGCCUAACACAUGCAAGUCGAGCGGCAGCGCGGGGUGCUUGCACCCUGUCGGCGUGCGGCGCACGGCUGAGUAACGCGUGGGAAUUUGCCCCAAAGUGAGGAAUAACUGCCCGAACGGGUAGCUAAUGCCGCAUAUGGUCUUCGGAUUAAAGGAUUUAUCCGCUUUGGGAGAAGCCUGCGUUGGAUUAGGUUGUUGGUAGGGUAAUGGCCUACCAAGCCGACGAUCCAUAGCUGGUCUGAGAGGAUGAUCAGGCAGACUGGAACUGAGACACGGUCCAGACUGCGACGGGAGGCAGCAGUGAGGAAUCUUCCACAAUGGGCGAAAGCCUGAUGGAGCAACGCCGCGUGAAGGAUGAAGGCGUUCGGGUUGUAAACUUCUUUUAUAAGUGAAGAAUAUGACGGUAACUCAUGAAUAAGCACCGGCUAACUACGUG